UGGCAAUUCUGUGUAAUUUUGUUUAUCAGACAGAGAGCCAUCGGGUGCAAGCUCCACGACAGCAGAGGCGGAAGCAGAGCAACACGAGAAGGUCUGCGAUGCAUGUCGGGUAUCGGAUGAGCAUCAGUCGUUCCUCAUAGUGGCAAAUAAUCGGCGUCAUCUUGGACUCGUCAUUGUCCUCUGCGGUGUUGUUUGACUAUCCACGUAUAGCCUGUGAGUUGCAGUCAAGUGGUAAGAGGUGCUUUGCAUCUGAUUAACUGUUGUAUUGGACUCAUUGGUAACCCUUUGAGUCAGUGAUGUACUAGAUUUGACUGAACUGUCCUUUACCAUGUAUUGUAUAAGAUGUUGUACUAAUGCCUUGUAUGUGAUUGUAUAUUGUAGCAGACAUGGUGUUGCAUUUUGUGCCUGUGUACGGUAUCGGAACAGGUUGUUGCAUAUCGUUACCACACACUUGAACUAUGUUUGAAUUGGACUGUGUAUCAUAUCACGGAAUCGAGUAGCCUAACGGAUUUGAGUCGGUAUCACAUUCCAUCUUUGGUCAAAUCAUAAUCGCAUUUCAAUCUCUACAACCUGCCAUAGUCGCAUGGUAUGAGACUCGGUGCCACAUUUGACCCGGUAGCGGUGUGUUGUAUGUGAAUCGGUGGUGUAAUAGACUCUGUCACACGGUACGUAGCAGUGUUUUGUAUGAGACUUUGGUGCCGUCUCGCAUUACAUCCGGUUUUGUAAUGCUGAUUGAACAUUUAUUAUAUUGGACCCAUUAGCGCUGCGACGGAUGGGACCGGGUAUCGUAAUAGUCUUUGUAUUAGCGAAUCGCAUGGGAACGUUCACGUUUGAUUUGUCGCGGUCGGUUCAGCCGUUACCGGGUGCCGUAUUUGACUUUGCGUUCUCACACGAGCAUUUUAUGCAUGUAGUACGGGAGCCGUUCACAUUGCAUUCCAUUUGCUUUGUUGUGGCAGUAUUUUAUUGUUAUUUUGCAGUAUCUUAAAAUGAAUUAUGACAAUUUGUGUUUCUACACUGUCUCUGUAUCACUGAUUCAUUGUUUUCAAUCAUGUAGCGUAUGAGAGUCUGUAUUACUGUAUUGCACGUGAUGUGUUCUAUUAGACCUGUUGCGUUUGGAGGGUGCGGGGCUCAUCGUACCUAACCCAUAGUCACAUAACUAUAUCUCGCAUCUUCGCUACGCAUCACCUUCGACUCGUUUACGGGGGAUCGUCCGAGACUCGGCAUCACAUUGGACCCAUCGUCGCCUCACGUUCGACGUGGCGUCGUAUCGGACAGAGUGCCGUGCAUCGCUACGCAUCGUACGGGAGUCAUCGGUGUCACCUGGUCGUUGUCAGUGCCAUAACGGGCUCAAUAGUUGUAUUUUACCCUGUAUUGUUUAAGACUCGGUGUUUAAUGCAUUAUGUAUUAGAUGUUA